UAAAUUGUUAAAAAAAAUAAUUAUAAAAAUUAUUUGUUUUAGUAUUGUUUAAAGAAAAAAUUAUAUUAAUAAUAGAUUAUUAGUAUUGUAAAAGAAAUUUGAAAUAAAUUGAAAAAUUAAUAAUAAAAAAAGAAAAUUUAAUUUAUUGUACCUUGUGUAUCAGGGUUUAUUAAAUAAAAUUUUUAUAUAAAAAUUUCUCGAAAAGAAAAGAUUUAAAAAUAUAUAAUAGUUACUGUAUCAUAAUUAUUAUUAAUAUAUUUUUAGAAAUGAAAUGUUUUUCGUUUUUCUUAUAUCUAGUUUUUUAAGAAAUUAAUUUAAUUUAGCUAUUUUAUACUUUAUUAAUUUAAUUUAUUAAAUUAAUAAUAUUUUAUAGUAAUAUUUAAUGGGAUGAGCUAUUAAAUAAAAUUUUAAAAAUUUUUAUUAUAUAAAAGUAUUUAUAUGCUUAGAAAUAGCAAUUAUUUAAAAAUUUGUUAUAAUUUAUAUUUUUUAAUAUAUAAUAUUUAUUUUAUUUUAAAUUUUUUAUUAAAAUAUUUUAUUUAAUUUAAAAAUAUAAUUAAUAAUGAUAAAAUUAGUAUAUUUAUAAUGUAAAAAUAAAUUUAAAUGAAAAGUUUGAUUAAGGAAUUCGGCAAAAAAAAUUUUCGCCUGUUUAACAAAAACAUGUCUUUUUGAAUUUAAUUUUAAGUCUAAUCUGCCCACUGAUAUAUUUAAAGGGCCGCAGUAUAUUAACUGUGCAAAGGUAGCAUAAUCAUUAGUCUUUUAAUUGGAGGCUUGUAUGAAUGAUUGGACGAGAUAUUAGCUGUCUCAAAUAAAUUUUUAUAGAAUUUUAUUUUUUAGUUAAAAAGCUAAAAUAAUUUUAAAAGACGAGAAGACCCUAUAGAUCUUUAUAUUUAUGAUAUUUUAUUUUAUAAGAAUUAAUUUAAAUAAUAUAAUUAAAUAAUAUUUUGUUGGGGUGAUAUUGAAAUUUAAAAAACUUUCAAUUAAUAUGAAACAAAAAUUAUUGAAUUUUUGAUCUUUUAUUAUUGAUAAAAAAAUUAAGUUACCUUAGGGAUAACAGCGUAAUUAUUUCGAAGAGUUCAUAUCGAUGAAAUAGAUUGCGACCUCGAUGUUGGAUUAAGAUUAAUUUUAGGCGUAGCAGUUUAAUAUAUUAAGUCUGUUCGACUUUUAAAUUCUUACAUGAUCUGAGUUCAAACCGGCGUAAGCCAGGUUGGUUUCUAUCUUUAAUUAAUUGUAAUAUUUUAGUACGAAAGGACCAGAUAUUAAAAAUAAUGAUUUUUUAAAUAUGAAUAAUAUUAAUUUAAUAAU
rnacentral:rRNA from 1 species